AUCAUGGCUCAGAAUGAACGCUGGCGGCGUGCUUAACACAUGCAAGUCGUACGAGAACGCAUUGGCUUGCCAAUGCAAGUAAAGUGGCGCACGGGUGAGUAACGCGUGGGUAAUCUACCUUCGAAUCCGGGAUAACAUUGCGAAAGCGAUGCUAAUCCCGGAUAAAAUCGGGAAGACUUUGGUUUUUUUGAUCAAAGGAAGCCUCUUCAUGAAAGCUUUUGUUUGGAGAUGAGCCCGCGUACCAUUAGCUUGUUGGUGGGGUAAAGGCCUACCAAGGCGACGAUGGUUAGCUGGUCUGAGAGGAUGAUCAGCCACACUGGAACUGACACACGGUCCANACUCCUACGGGAGGCAGCAGUCANGAAUUUUGCGCAAUGGGGGAAACCCUGACGCAGCAACGCCGCGUGAGUGAUGAAGGCUUUCGGGUCGUAAAGCUCUGUCAAGU
rnacentral:rRNA from 1 species